rfam:Crassostrea gigas strain 05x7-T-G4-1.051#20 contig22206, whole genome shotgun sequence.
GGAUCGUUGGUUUAGGGGUAUGAUUCUCGUUUUGGGUGCGAGAGGUCCUGGGUUCAAAUCCCUGACGAGCCC